rnacentral:misc_RNA from 1 species
UUGUAAUGUUAACAAGAUCUCCAUAACAAAACCUAAAACAGCUGGUAUAGGAUUUCCCAAGCACCUGUGAAGGCAACGUAAAAGGGAUACACAUGCAUCAUUUGUUACACAAGGCCUUAGUGAACGGUAAAUCUGGUGGGAGCGGCAGGCCAAGUGUCUAGAUGUGCACUCCAUGGCCCAUUUUAGUGCCUCUGCUCCCCAAGUUUCUCGGAGAUCUCCUUGAAAGAAGAUGGCAUCCACCAUACUCUGUACCAAAGCAGACAAGAGUGCUGCACUUGGUAGCUCUGUUCUCACUACCGUGGGGUCCUCAUUCUCCCACAUCAUGCUACCACGCUUAGAUUGAACAUACUUUAUGAGGCUCACUACUUGCUGCUUGUUCUCUCCAUCACUAUUUUCAACAUCAUAUAACUCCAAAUGACGCCCUGCAAGUGAAUACAAAAGAUUUACAAGCAGAUGCUGACAAUGCUCCAAGACAAUAUCCUCUGAACUAUCCAUAGAUACAAAAGUGACAUGAAAGAGCAAAGGCAAAUGCUCCCGGAAGUCCUCAUCGUUCUCAUAAGCAAUUUCAGCAAGUAGAAUCAAUGCUAUGUCUGCGUGAGAGAGAGAAUGCUGCUGAUGUCCUUGCAAUGCUGAUUGAAGUUCUUUUGCAUUAAUCCCGUGCAUUACAGACCCAGAAUGCAACCCAUCUUCCCCCGAAUUCGGAGUGUCAAUGAGGUAGUCUCCGCUGUCUCGAGAGCGAUGACGACUUCGCAUACUUCCAGUUGAACUCCGUACCCCCAUUAAUGGCCCUGACAUGUUCACCAAUGAUGGAAGAAGUUGGCCAGACCUACCAGCAGUUCCAGGGAUAAUAUUUAAGUCAGGAGGCAUAGGAGUCAAUGGGCCUGAGGCACUUCUCCCUCCAACAGUGGCUGUUCUCCAGCUCAAGCUCCCACUUGUGUUCCUCAGUGGACCAUCGAGAGACCCACGUACUAAUAAAGGUGACAUGUGAGGUUGACUAUCUACAAUGGAUGCAACUUGAACCACAGAAUGCCCCUGAGAAAAUUCUAACACGGUGUUUCCAUUUCCCUCACCUUGGUUUGCACUAGGCCUCAGAGGUUCGAUGUUAUCAAGCAUGCGCUGAGCAAGUUGAUAUACCAAGUGAUCAAUAGUACGUUGAGGGCAUAUACGAGCUAAAUAUAAACUGACCCUUUUAGCAACAGAGAAGUACGUAGCAAAUGCACCACUAAUUUCUGCUGAUGCAUUUGAAUCGCAAUCUUCAAUACCUUUUGCAAUCAAAAAAUCUAAAACUGGACUUAUGUUCCUAGGUUUGCUGGCAAUGGUACUCCAAAGCUUCUCAAUUUCAUCAGGAAAUUGAUCACCAUGCCUCCAUGUCACGUAAUAAAGGCUUUUCAAUAGUCUGUCACUCCAACCCGAGUCCUUGAGUCUCCAGAAAUUGAGAUUCUCAAUCCACGGAGCCAUGCAUGUCAAGACUUGAUGCUGUGCAAUUAUAUCGACUGCGUCAAGCUGCCUCUGCAUGAUUUCUUCACAAAGCCACUGACUAAGUUCAGGGUGAUCUUUAGCAAGUUUACAAGAGAGUUUGUACUGGAACUG